GCAUGGCGUGGGUUGCCAAGGCCUUGCAUAGUGCAUAGGUUUGCAAGAUUAGAAAAAAACCUGACGUUUUUAUUCUAUCUACACGCGCUCAGGAAAAUUGCAGCUUCAUAGUGCCCCACAUCAAGGUUGGAGGGAGGAGUUAAGAACGGCCCUGGCUGAAGCUGUACCAUAUUACCCUCACCUGUCCCCCAUUAACAUCAAUAGAUCAGGGUAGCAGACGGAUUCAAAUCAGGCGAUCAAGGCACGCGGACCAAGGACGGCGGGGCGCAGGCGAGGGGCGGGGAUUUUCCCCCAAGCGUAGUCGUGGCAGUUCGUAUUAACAUGGACUAAAACCUCAUCGGUGACACAUGGAUGCUGUUUUACAACCAUCUUCAUCGAUGAGAUAUGGCAGACGACGGUGCGUGAAAGGGAUUCGCCCCCGUUACGAUAGUCCGGUUCUACCUUUGGGUGUACUCGCAAAGACUAUGGCUUGGGGCACAAAGAUAGACGCUUCUUUCACCAAGCUGACGGCCAGAGCUACUACGACUCCGAGAGGCAAAGUUUGCAAAUAAAUGAGAAUAGUCAGGAUUUAUAUAAUUCCUAGAACUGCAAAACAUGCAAAGCUUCGCCGCAUGUUCGUACUGUUAAAAAUUAAUCCUAC
rnacentral:lncRNA from 1 species